UACGUAGGGACCAAGCGUUGUUCGGAUUUACUGGGCGUAAAGGGCGCGUAGGCGGCAUGGCAAGUCACUUGUGAAAUCUCCGGGCUUAACUCGGAACGGCCAAGUGAAACUGCCAAGCUAGAGUGCAGAAGGGGCAAUCGGAAUUCUUGGUGUAGCGGUGAAAUGCGUAGAUAUCAAGAGGAACACCUGAGGUGAAGACGGGUUGCUGGGCUGACACUGACGCUGAGGCGCGAAAGCCAGGGGGAGCAAACGGGG
rnacentral:rRNA from 1 species